rnacentral:rRNA from 1 species
AUUGAACGCUGGCGGCAUGCCUUACACAUGCAAGUCGAACGGCAGCACGGGAGCAAUCCUGGUGGCGAGUGGCGAACGGGUGAGUAAUAUAUCGGAACGUGCCCAGUCGUGGGGAUAACGUAGCGAAAGCUACGCUAAUACCGCAUACUAUCUAUGGAUGAAAGCGGGGGAUCGCAAGACCUCGCGCGAUUGGAGCGGCCGAUAUCAGAUUAGGUAGUUGGUGAGGUAAAGGCUCACCAAGCCGACGAUCUGUAGCUGGUCUGAGAGGACGACCAGCCACACUGGGACUGAGACACGGCCCAGACUCCUACGGGAGGCAGCAGUGGGGAAUUUUUGGGACAAUGGGCGCAAGCCUGAUCCAGCAAUGCCGCGUGCAGGAUGAAGGCC